rnacentral:rRNA from 1 species
AGCGAACGCUGGCGGCAGGCUUAACACAUGCAAGUCGAACGGGCACUUCGGUGUCAGUGGCAGACGGGUGAGUAACGCGUGGGAACGUACCUCUUGGUUCGGAACAACACAGGGAAACUUGUGCUAAUACCGGAUAAGCCCUUACGGGGAAAGAUUUAUCGCCGAGAGAUCGGCCCGCGUCUGAUUAGCUAGUUGGUAGGGUAACGGCCUACCAAGGCGACGAUCAGUAGCUGGUCUGAGAGGAUGAUCAGCCACAUUGGGACUGAGACACGGCCCAAACUCCUACGGGAGGCAGCAGUGGGGAAUAUUGGACAAUGGGGGCAACCCUGAUCCAGCCAUGCCGCGUGAGUGAUGAAGGCCCUAGGGUUGUAAAGCUCUUUUGUGCGGGAAGAUAAUGACGGUGCCGCAAGAAUAAGCCCCGGCUAACUUCGUGCCAGCCGCCGCAGUAA